rnacentral:rRNA from 1 species
UACGGAGGGAGCAAGCGUUACUCGGAAUUAUUGGGCGUAAAGGGCGCGUAGGCGAUCCUACAAGUCUCGGUGUGAAAGCCCCAGAGCCUAACUCUGGAAGGGCACGAGAUACUGUAGGAUUUGAGUUCCGGAGAGGAAGAUGGAAUUCCCGGUGUAGCGGUGAAAUGCGUAGAUAUCAGGAGGACACCGGUGGCGAAGGCGGGUCUCUGGGCCGAUACUGACGCUGAGGAGCGAAAGCAUGGGUAGCGAACAGG